CCACUUGAUGAUGAUGAGAUCGUCGAGUACAUACUCACGGGUCUGGAAUCUUAUUUCAAUCCAGUUGUUUCUGCUGUGCUGGUCAGGACUGAAGGGAUCACGGUAGGCGAGCUAUACUUACAGCUGCUCGCCUUCGAGA